rnacentral:lncRNA from 1 species
CAUGAAUUAAGUCAAUACUGUCAUAAAAGUCACACUUAUUCAAGCUUUUUCAAAGUAAUAAAAUGUUUUGUUAAAAAACAAUGCAAAAAGACUAUAAGAUUUAACUGGUUAUUCAAAAUCUGUGUAUUAAUUAUUUGGAAAAUUACCAAAUAAUUGAUGACAGAAAUUAGAAUUGGUCUGUAAAGUGAACUUUGUCAUCAUUGAUAUAGCCAAAAACUUUAAACAGAGAUAAAAAAAAAAAAAAAUCUGCAAUAACUUUUUAGUCCCCUUUGAGUGAAUUCUGUCAUUAUUGAUUUAGUCAAAUAUUUUAAAGAGAGAUAAAAAAAAAAAUCUGCAAUAACUAUAACCGAUUACAAGAAAAUUAGUCCUCUUAAAUUGAAAUCUGUCAUUGAUUUAGCCCAAAACUUUAACCAGGGAUAAAAAAUCUGUAAUAACUAUAACAGAUAACAAGAAUAUAAGUCCCUUUAAAUUGAAAUCUGACAUUGAUUUAGCCAAAAAUUUUAACCAGGGAUAAAAAAUCUGCAAUAACUAUAAACAAUAAUAAGAAAAUUAGUCCCUUUAAAUCUUUCAUUAUUGAUUAUUAAAAGCCCAAAAUUUUAAACAGUGAUAUAAACAAUCUUUGAAUCUAUAUUUUUACUGAUAACAAGAAAAUUAGUCCCCUUAAAGUGAAAUCCAUGUAGAUGGAGAGAUGACAGAAGCUAUUAGGGAUGUAAUGAUUUCUGAUUCCAGUAGACACUGAUCUAUAUUGUUGUGACCUUUUGGAUACAAUAUUUUAUUCAUUAAAUUACCCCUUUUAUGUAUUAGUUAGUAAUGAAAUUGACAAAUUUAUUUCUCUGGAUGUCUGUAUAAAUAAGUCUUUAGCUGCCUACAUGGUAACUUUUUGGCUCCACACUUUAUAAGAUUAAUUAUAAACAAGGAGAAAGUUCACCGUAGUUCAUUUGUUAAAAGAAUAAUCAAAUCAAAACAAAAUUUUUAAAUGGAUUGGAUUCUAAAAAUGUAUAAAUAACAUUUUUUUUUUUAUCAUUAAGCACAAGCCCCUAAGACAGGCUAGUAAAAAUGUUUUAGGAUUAUAAAAUAUUUCUAAAAAGAGGCUCACAAACCAUGUAGAUUUAUACAUGUUGGUGAAGGAUUUUCUGGCUUGUAAGUGAAUUUUUCGUAAUCUUGGCUUGGACUUGCAGGGUUUUUAUGUUGACCAGUUAGUUGAAUAAUAAAUAAUUGCUUUGAGUUCUUCUAAUAAAAUUAUCAAAUGUCUUUACUGUUUACCUCCUGAUUUCAAAAGACAUAUGAUUUUUUUCAGGCCACUAAACUUAAUAAAUAAUAAAUAUUGUGGAGGAUUCAAUUCAUAAGCACAACAUUUUCAUACGUAUCUUUUUCACUUUUCCAAUACAUGCUUACAAACAAACAUCAUACCUGAAGCUUAAACCUAGCAGUGUUUUUUCUAUAAGUUUGAGUGCUAAUUUGACAAUCAACUCAUUUUACUUAAGAGACAGA